rnacentral:lncRNA from 1 species
AGAAGCUUUCGCCUCCGCCUUCAGACUGGCCCUCAGGCUUCCCUGCUCAGAGGCAGGGAAUUGUGCAGCUGGAGUUUCAUUUUCCAAGAGGCAGGGUCUCAGUCUGUCACCCAGGCUGGAGUACAGUGGCACCAUCUUGGCUCACUCUAGCCUCGACCUCCUGGGCUCAAGUGAGCCUCCUACCUCAGUCUCCCAAAAUGCUGGGAUUACAAGCAUGAACCACUGUGACUUGCCUUCUUGGCAAUUUUAAAUGAAAGAAGAAGAUGGAAUAAUGCCUACUGAGGACUAUGUUUGAGGGGUGUUGUAUGACCCCGUUUUCCAUACCCAGCCAACUUGUCAUGUGACAAGUCCACAGAAAGAUGUUAUAUGACAGGAAUCUAUGAACUAGUCUUCCCUGAAAUGUACCUGACUACAGCUAACAUCAUAUCACAUGAUGAAAGACCGCGUUGUUUUCCCCUGAGGUUGGCACUGCAGCUGUGGGUGAUUCGGAUGGUCUGUUGGUGGAAUGUGGAGCUGGACGGGUCAAGGAGCACAGUGUGGAAAGAGGGACAAUUUGCUACAAGUUGGAGAUAAGAGACAUGGCAUACUGUGAAACCAGUGCUGACGGAAGAAGGUGACUUUCUUGGAAGGUCAAGACACUUGCUUGACAGCGAUGUCCAGGAGGGCUAGGGAGAGUUCUGCUGGAAGUGAAGGCAGCACCUGAGGGUGGCUGAGGGAACUGGUCAGGGCUGGGAACGCCUCCAGCCCUUUGAGGAAUGAUUCGCUGAUUAAGAGAUGUUUGGCCUUGAAAAUUGCAAGAAUGAAAUCUCUUGGUGGGAAUGUGUAGCCAAAAGCCAGCACCCUGAGUGGCUCCAAGGUUUGGGGACCCUCUCAAGGCACAAAUCCCAGUUCCUUUUCAAUUUUGAAAAUCGUUGUGGGCGAUUCUGGAAUUGAGAAGUGUGCUGAGAGCCAUGGAUUUAACAUGACAAGAAUUUCCGCCCCUUCGUCACUGAGCACACCGCAAAUGCUCCAGGGCCAGGGACUUACUUGGGCUUCUGCGUGUCUUCCACAGUGUGCAUCAAUCCGCCGGGCUCUGGUUGGUGUUUAAAAAAAAAGAUGCAGCGAAGGAAUCUGGUGUGGACAAACGCCCUGGGCAUGGACCAAAAGCCUGGCCCUUGUGUCCCUGGCAAUGGGACGGUGAAGGACAGAAAGACAGCACAUCCAGUAGUGUCAGGAGCUUGGAGCAGGCAUUCGGAAGCAUCUGUUAAAUGUUAUUGAUGGAGGAUUGACAUAACCCACAUCUGCAUAGCUUUUUUGGUCUGUUUUUGGAAGUGAACAGUCACAAACAAAAACAACUUUGGUUCAGGUCAUUUAUAGGCCCAGAUCCUCUAUCCUUAGAGGUUUCCCACCAGAUAUACUAUUUCACUAUCUAUGCCAGGAAAGUUACGUAAAACCACGCAGAAUUUUACCUGACAACGAAAUAGACCUUUUCGUUAGAUCCUCCACCCCACCUAAAGCAGUUACACAGGCUGAAAUGAAACUGUUAAAGGAAUGAACUAACUUGGAGAUAGAAUCAUCGCCUUUGCUGAACACCAUUUUAAGAAUAUUGGAAUAUAUAGGGGUACCAGCAUAAUAGUAAAAUGUGCCCAUAUUAUCUAUAAUUUUAUGCUGGGCACUUUUUAGAAAUUAUUUUUUAUAACUUUGUCUUUGAGAUGAUUUGGCUACAAGUUCAUUACAUUUAGUUUACAACUGGCUUUGAUUUCUUGGCAUUCGUUGUGUAUUAUUAGGAAACCCCGCAGAGAGAAAAUGUAAACUCCAAAUUGCUUUAAAAUAUUAUGAUAGUUUUUAGGGAUAUUACACUGUGACAGUGAAUGAAAUGGACGUAACGUUCUGUUUUGUAGAUAUUUUGUGAAAUCUUUAUUAGUCUUGAUUUUCUUUGGAACAAGUCAUUCCUGUUCUGGGCUGAAGCCUGAAAAUUCCCUGACCUGUGACCCUGGCCCAAGGCUCCUCUUGGAUAAAACAGUGUUUCCUGGACCAGAGGGCAAAGUCACAGAAACAUGAUGUGACGAAAUCUAAAUAGAAAGCAAACUCCAACAGGCCCCAAACGAGCUGAGAAAAUAUCCAACUUCAAAGGUUUUGCACAAAUCAUCUUAAAGGCCUGACCUAAGCCCGGAAAGCCGGAACGAAGCCCAGAAAUCAGUCCUCAUUUCAUCGCCGUUUAGCCAAGACACCUUUCCCGUCCACAGAUCACAUCUGCCCCCUUCUGCCCCCGCCCAGGUCCCAACCACCUUGAGACACCUGCGUGAUCCAUCCUCAAAGCAAUGAGUUAGGAGCCGCACUCCUGGUCCUUGGCCGGUGGCUUCAGUGUUAUUCCGGGGGGCUGGGUGGGGGCACCUGUGGGGACUGCCCCGUGAGGCUGUGGUUUAAUUUCCUUUGCUACUUUCCUUAGCUCUUCAGUCUCAGUCUCAGCCACUGAAAUGUGUCUUGGCCACUGGUGGUACAGCACAGGGUGACACUGUUGUCAGCGAGAGGAAGAUGCUUUUUUUUUUUUUGAGAUGGAGUUUUGCUCUGUUGCCCAGGCUGGAGUGCAGUGGUGCAAUCUUGGCUCACUGCAACCUCCACCGCCCGGGGUUCAAGCGAUUCUCCUGUCUCAGCCUCAUGAGUAGCUGGGAUUACAGGCACCCACCACCAUGCCCAGCUAAUUUUUGUAUUCUUAGUAGAGAUGGGGUUUUGCCAUAUUGGCCAGGCUGGUGUCGAACUCCUGACCUCAGGCGGUCCACCUGCCUUGGCCUCCCAAAGUGCUGGGAUUAUAGACAUGAGCCACUGCGCCCAGACAGGAAGAUGCGUUUGUGAGCCGGGACAAUUGUGAGUGGAAAGAGAAGAAAAAAAGUAAAAUAAUAAUACUAAUAAUGCCUUUUCUCUGGUCCUGGAAGAUCUAUAUGAACUUGUAUUUUACAUCUCUUGUCUGGAUUUAGCUGUGAAAGACCAGUAGACCAACUGGUGGGAAAAAUACUUGCACGGCAGCAGGUUGUUUGAAUAAAAUAGGAGAUUUCCAGUCUCA